AUUGAACGCUGGCGGCAGGCCUAACACAUGCAAGUCGAACGAUAACAGGAAGAAGCUUGCUUCUUUGCUGACGAGUGGCGGACGGGUGAGUAAUGUCUGGGAAACUGCCUGAUGGAGGGGGAUAACUACUGGAAACGGUAGCUAAUACCGCAUAAUGUCGCAAGACCAAAGAGGGGGACCUUCGGGCCUCUUGCCAUCGGAUGUGCCCAGAUGGGAUUAGCUAGUAGGUGGGGUAACGGCUCACCUAGGCGACGAUCCCUAGCUGGUCUGAGAGGAUGACCAGCCACACUGGAACUGAGACACGGUCCAGACUCCUACGGGAGGCAGCAGUGGGGAAUAUUGCACAAAGGGCGCAAGCCUGAUGCAGCUAUGCCGCGUGUAUGAAGAAGGCCUUCGGGUUGUAAAGUACUUUCAGCGGGGAGGAAGGGAGUAAAGUUAAUACCUUUGCUCAUUGACGUUACCCGCAGAAGAAGCACCGGCUAACUCCGUG
rnacentral:rRNA from 1 species